UGGCUUAAAGACAGAGACAAAAUUCAAAAAUUAUUUCAUGAUGCAUGUAACAAAACAGAGAAGAUCAACCAACAAAAUCCACUACAAGGAAGAUGAGAAGGGCUUUUUAUGGAUUGCAAGUACUUCUCUAACCUUUUCCCCUCUUGGGGAUGAGAGGGAGGAGGGGAUUUUCAGAGGUCUAGAGCCUAGAGUGAAGACUGAACGGAGUAGGUUUAUAGGGGACCUUUGUUGAGAGAACUAU